rnacentral:rRNA from 1 species
AGAGUUUGAUCAUGGCUCAGAUUGAACGCUGGCGGCAGGCUUAACACAUGCAAGUCGAGCGGGGAAAGGUAGCUUGCUACCUUACCUAGCGGCGGACGGGUGAGUAAUGCUUAGGAAUCUGCCUAUUAGUGGGGGACAACAUUUCGAAAGGAAUGCUAAUACCGCAUACGCCCUACGGGGGAAAGCAGGGGACCUUCGGGCCUUGCGCUAAUAGAUGAGCCUAAGUCGGAUUAGCUAGUUGGUGGGGUAAAGGCCUACCAAGGCGACGAUCUGUAGCGGGUCUGAGAGGAUGAUCCGCCACACUGGGACUGAGACACGGCCCAGACUCCUACGGGAGGCAGCAGUGGGGAAUAUUGGACAAUGGGGGGAACCCUGAUCCAGCCAUGCCGCGUGUGUGAAGAAGGCCUUUUGGUUGUAAAGCACUUUAAGCGAGGAGGAGGCUACUUAGAUUAAUACUCUAGGAUAGUGGACGUUACUCGCAGAAUAAGCACCGGCUAACUCUGUGCCAGCAGCCGCGGUAAUACAGAGGGUGCAAGCGUUAAUCGGAUUUACUGGGCGUAAAGCGUGCGUAGGUGGCCAAUUAAGUCAAAUGUGAAAUCCCGAGCUUAACUUGGGAAUUGCAUUCGAUACUGGUUGGCUAGAGUAUGGGAGAGGAUGGUAGAAUUCCAGUGUAGCGGUGAAAUGCGUAGAGAUCUGGAGGAAUACCGAUGGCGAAAGCAGCCAUCUGGGCCUAAUACUGACACUGAGGUACGAAAGCAUGGGGAGCAAACAGGAUUAGAUACCCUGGUAGUCCAUGCCGUAACGAUGUCUACUAGCCGUUGGGGUCUUUGAGACUUU